UGAAGGUGUAGUAGAACUCUCAGCUCCUCCUGCACCAUGCCUGCCUGGAAGCUGCCAUGCUUUCCGCCUUGAUGAUACUGGACUGAACCUUUGAACCUGUCUUGACCACCCCAAAAACCCAGCUGAAUAGGGAAUUGGUCUGGAGCAAAGCCUGUGAGCCAAAGGUGUGUGUGCUGAUCCGAGGAUGGAGUCUUCUGACCUAGGUGAAGUCUAUUGUCCUGCCACAUCUGCAGCUUCCUGCAAGAAGCCACUACCUGCUGAGCAGCUGAGCUUGUUUUCCUGACGAGAUGCUGACAAAGCAGGGAGGAGAUCCUGGCAAAGAGGGGGAUGGAUUUCCCCCCCUUUAAAAAUUCAGACUC
rnacentral:lncRNA from 1 species